rnacentral:rRNA from 2 species
GGGGGGUGACGUUAUCCGGAUUUAUUGGGCGUAAGCGAGCGCAGGCGGUUUUUUAAGUCUGAUGUGAAAGCCCUCGGCUUAACCGAGGAAGCGCAUCGGAAACUGGGAAACUUGAGUGCAGAAGAGGACAGUGGAACUCCAUGUGUAGCGGUGAAAUGCGUAGAUAUAUGGAAGAACACCAGUGGCGAAGGCGGCUGUCUGGUCUGUAACUGACGCUGAGGCUCGAAAGCAUGGGUAGCGAACAGGAUUAGAUACCCUGGUAGUCCAUGCCGUAAACGAUGAAUGCUAGGUGUUGGAGGGUUUCCGCCCUUCAGUGCCGCAGCUAACGCAUUAAGCAUUCCGCCUGGGGAGUACGACCGCAAGGUUGAAACUCAAAGGAAUUGACGGGGGCCCGCACAAGCGGUGGAGCAUGUGGUUUAAUUCGAAGCAACGCGAAGAACCUUACCAGGUCUUGACAUCUUUUGAUCACCUGAGAGAUCAGGUUUCCCCUUCGGGGGCAAAAUGACAGGUGGUGCAUGGUUGUCGUCAGCUCGUGUCGUGAGAUGUUGGGUUAAGUCCCGCAACGAGCGCAACCCUUAUGACUAGUUGCCAGCAUUUAGUUGGGCACUCUAGUAAGACUGCCGGUGACAAACCGGAGGAAGGUGGGGAUGACGUCAAAUCAUCAUGCCCCUUAUGACCUGGGCUACACACGUGCUACAAUGGAUGGUACAACGAGUUGCGAGACCGCGAGGUCAAGCUAAUCUCUUAAAGCCAUUCUCAGUUCGGACUGUAGGCUGCAACUCGCCUACACGAAGUCGGAAUCGCUAGUAAUCGCGGAUCAGCACGCCGCGGUGAAUACGUUCCCGGGCCUUGUACACACCGCCCGUCACACCAUGAGAGUUUGUAACACCCGAAGCCGGUGGCGUAACCCUUUUAGGGAGCGAGCCGUCUAAGGUGGGACAAAUGAUUAGGGUGAUCUACAGGGGGGGGGCCCCCACAAAAAAAAAAGCCCAAAAAACCCUG